rnacentral:siRNA from 1 species
GAACCCAACGGUGAAGCCAAUCAA